rnacentral:tRNA from 1 species
GGGGCCGUAGCUCAAUCGGGAGAGCGCCUUUUUUGCUAGCAGGAGGUUGGGGGUUCGAUUCCCCCGGUUCCA